rnacentral:rRNA from 1 species
GAUGAACGCUGGCGGCGUGCCUAAUACAUGCAAGUCGAGCGAACAGACGAGGAGCUUGCUCCUCUGACGUUAGCGGCGGACGGGUGAGUAACACGUGGAUAACCUACCUAUAAGACUGGGAUAACUUCGGGAAACCGGAGCUAAUACCGGAUAAUAUAUUGAACCGCAUGGUUCAAUAGUGAAAGACGGUUUUGCUGUCACUUAUAGAUGGAUCCGCGCCGCAUUAGCUAGUUGGUAAGGUAACGGCUUACCAAGGCAACGAUGCGUAGCCGACCUGAGAGGGGGUUCGCCCACACGGGACGGGAGACCCGGUCCAGACCCCCAGGGGGGGCCGGGGUGGGGAAUUUUCCGAAAGGGGGGAAAGCCUGAGGGAGCAACCCCGGGUGAGUGAUGAAGGUUUUCGGAUCGUAAACCGUUGUUAUUAGGGAAGAAAAAAUUUUUAAGUAACUAUGCCCGUCUUGACGGUACCUAAUCAGAAAGCCCCGGCUAACUACGU